rnacentral:rRNA from 1 species
AUUGAACGCUGGCGGCAGGCCUAACACAUGCAAGUCGAGCGGGAUUUACCUUCGGGUAAUGAGAGCGGCGGACGGGUGAGUAAUGCUUGGGAAUCUACCUAGUAGUGGGGGACAACAGUUGGAAACGACUGCUAAUACCGCAUACGCCCUACGGGGGAAAGGGGGGGAUCUUCGGACCUCUUGCUAUUGGAUGAGCCCAAGUCGGAUUAGCUAGUUGGUGGGGUAAAGGCCUACCAAGGCGACGAUCCGUAGCUGGUUUGAGAGGAUGAUCAGCCACACUGGGACUGAGACACGGCCCAGACUCCUACGGGAGGCAGCAGUGGGGAAUAUUGGACAAUGGGCGCAAGCCUGAUCCAGCCAUGCCGCGUGUGUGAAGAGGGCCCUAGGGUUGUAAAGCACUUUAAGUAGGGAGGAAGGUCUGGUAAUUAAUACUUAUCAGGAUUGACGUUACCUACAGAAUAAGCACCGGCUAACUCCGUGCCAGCCGCCGCAGUAACAC